UACGAAGGGUGCAAGCGUUACUCGGAAUUACUGGGCGUAAAGCGUGCGUAGGUGGUUUGUUAAGUCUGUUGUGAAAGCCCCGGGCUCAACCUGGGAAUGGCAAUGGAUACUGGCAGGCUAGAGUGCGGUAGAGGGUAGUGGAAUUCCCGGUGGUAGCGGUGAAAUGCGUAGGAGAUCGGGAGGAACACCAGUGGCGAAGG
rnacentral:rRNA from 1 species